rnacentral:rRNA from 1 species
GAUGAACGCUAGCGGCAGGCUUAACACAUGCAAGUCGAGGGGCAGCAUAAUGGAUAGCAAUAUCUAUGGUGGCGACCGGCGCACGGGUGCGUAACGCGUAUGCAACCUACCUUUAACAGGGGGAUAACACUGAGAAAUUGGUACUAAUACCCCCAUAAUAUCAUAGAAGGCAUCUUUUANGGUUGAAAAUUCCGAUGGUUAGAGAUGGGCAUGCGUUGUAUUAGCUAGUUGUGGGGUAACGGCUCACCAAGGCGACGAUCGGUAGCCGGACUGAGAGGUUGAACGGCCGACAUUGGGACUGAGACAGGCCCAGACUCCUACGGGAGGCAGCAGUGGGGAAUAUUGCACAAUGGGGGAACCCUGAUGCAGCGACGCCGCGUGGA